GCCGCGUGUGUGAAGAAGGCCUUCGGGUUGUAAAGCACUUUCAGCGAGGAGGAAAGGUUAGUAGUUAAUAACUGCUAGCUGUGACGUUACUCGCAGAAGAAGCACCGGCUAACUUCGUGCCAGCAGCCGCGGUAAUACGAGGGGUGCAAGCGUUAAUCGGAAUUACUGGGCGUAAAGCGUGCGUAGGUGGUUUGUUAAGCAAGAUGUGAAAGCCCUGGGCUCAACCUGGGAACUGCAUUUUGAACUGGCAAGCUAGAGUUUUGUAGAGGGUAGUGGAAUUUCCAGUGUAGCGGUGAAAUGCGUAGAGAUUGGAAGGAACAUCAGUGGCGAAGGCGGCUACCUGGACAAAGACUGACACUGAGGCACGAAAGCGUGGGGAGCAAACAGGAUUAGAUACCCUGGUAGUCCACGCCGUAAACGAUGUCAACUAGCCGUCUGUGGUCUUGAACCGUGGGUGGCGUAGCUAACGCGCUAAGUUGACCGCCUGGGGAGUACGGCCGCAAGGUUAAAACUCAAAUGAAUUGACGGGGGCCCGCACAAGCGGUGGAGCAUGUGGUUUAAUUCGAUGCAACGCGAAGAACCUUACCAUCCCUUGACAUCCAGAGAAGCGACUAGAGAUAGACGUGUGCCUUCGGGAACUCUGUGACAGGUGCUGCAUGGCUGUCGUCAGCUCGUGUUGUGAAAUGUUGGGUUAAGUCCCGCAACGAGCGCAACCC
rnacentral:rRNA from 2 species